AAAAAAGAAGUUUUAAAAGGCAGCAUUUUGCUUUAAAAAUAUAAAACCAAAAAGUUUUGAUAGAAUUAUUGCUUAAUCUUCAGCAAUUUAGCUAAUUCAGCAUAAAACUACAAAAUAUUGUGUUUGAGUUAUAAUGCAAGUUUUCAAAGCCAAGAAUUACUUAGGUUGAAAAUACUUUGCUGAGCUCUACUUUUGCCUCGAAAGAGAAGCCUGCAGCUGUUUCGCCAUGAAUUAUCCAUGGAGCACUGACUCCUUCCUUUAGCAUGCCUAAUCAGCCCCAAAUUUGCCUUAUCCCAUUAGCUUUGUUUGCUCUGUUGUCUGUCUCUGCUUUAUCUUGGGCCGGAAUAAAGGUGACAGCCUAGCACCGAACAGGGCAGUGGCUGUCCUCUUCAAUUCCCUGCAAAACAAUUCACAGUAUGGUUCUCCCUUCUGAUCCGAGUCCUCUAAUGUCCUGAAAACACAAAGAAAGAAUUUACUUAGCUCUCCCCUGUGUAAGGAAAAUACUUAAGUAGGAGCCGUUUUUUCCAUGACCACAGGUGGAACUUCCUUUGAGGCUGGUUCUCUCCUUUACAAAGCUUUCCUCUCUUCAUGCUGUUAAGGAAAAGAAAUCCAUGGGCCAAAACAACAGCAAAGAAAACAAACCUGCUCCACCAGGACAACAAACUACAACACUGAGAUAUGAACUGUUGAAGGAGUGGGAGAGUGGCUUUUCAUCAACUUGAAGGCAAAUAUAAAUAAACAACAAUACAAUAAUUACUCAGUAAAUCUGAUUGUAUGUUGACAAUCAAGAGAAAACCAUGGGGUAGCUUGUGGACUGGUCAUCAACCCCAAAUGAGGUGGUGGAAGCUCUUGGGAAUUACGGCGAGUCUUCUGGAAGCAGGUGGAGACUUUGCAUAACUCUUUCAGAUUAUGUCUUAAAAUGAGGCAUGGCCAUGAGAUGGAACAAAAAAAUUAUGCAAACAGGCAUUUCCAGUGUAAUAAAUUAGAUCUUACUCCAAGAAGCCUGCAGAUCUGCUGCCAGCCCUUGGCUAUUGAUAGGAUCCACUGUCUGGGUUGGGAAUGAACUGAAAUUCUGACUACAACCUGCAGAUUAGCAGAGGCUGUGGGGGCCAGCAGUGCCCCGGGGCUGGCCUGCCAGGGCUCUGUUCUACCUCAUUCCACCUGCCACUAACACCGCAUCAGUUGUCUUCUCGCCACUGUGUUCUAACACACUGUUUUGCUGCAGUAGCCAUUGGCAUAGCUGUGAAGGAUGGGAGGGACAGCCUUCAUGCCCUGUUUUGCUCCAGAGGCUUGGAAGCAUCACCUGUGACUAUGGCGGGCUGACAGACUGCGUUACGGAGCCUUAUUUUACAUUGUUCUCUUCAUUCGCUAAAUGUUGGCUGCAGGGAGUGGAAUUUUCUAGGAAGGAUGUCUGAACCUGGAUGGAGCCAGGUUGAUUUGUAGGGGGGAAAUUACACUAUAGAGCUUCAACUAAAUUAAAUCAAUAGAAAAUGCAUUGUUUAGACCACGGUUGGAAGGAAAAAAAAAAAAAAAAAAAGACAUGAGAAAAUUCUUGCCAUUGUUUUG
ensembl:lncRNA